rnacentral:tRNA from 1 species
ACAAGUAUGGCUCAAGUGGUAGAGCACCAGCCCAGAACAUAAACAUCAAGCAAGAACAUGAAGCCCUGGGUUCAAGCCCCAGUACUGGCA